UCCCCACCCAUCAUAUUGAUAGAAUAACACCUUCUGAUGUUUUAAACUCAAAUAUUCACAUCCCAUCUGAUCCAAGAAUCAAAUUUAUUCACCGAACCACCUUCAAAACACUACUGAUUUGAACACUAAUCUAACGAUGCAAGCAAAUAAAGAGAAAUAAAGACCAACAGUGGAAGACGAUCCAUCGGUCCCCCUCCAAGAUCUUGCUAGAAAUUAGUUUUUAAUCGAAGAAC
rnacentral:lncRNA from 1 species